AGGAAAAGGCAUGGAAGAAGCUUUGAUUAGCAUAGAAUGAAUUAGCUUACAAGAGUUUGUUAUUACAAUGGAUUAUAUAGUUCGUUACAGGAAUAACUAACUUACAACUAACUAAGCUAACUCUGGUUACAUUAUGAUCAAGUUAAAAUAACCAUGAUCAAGUCUAUAUCUAUGCUAAGAGCCCUCUUCAAGUUAGGAAUGGAUGUUGGACAUUCCUAGCUUGGAAUGUAAGAAAAAAAAUGAAAAGCACCAGGCAUGAGAGCCUUGGUGUAGAUAUAUGCAAGCUGGUUUGCAGAGGAAACAAGAAGUCAUUUCACUAGUCAUUGAAUCAUCUUCUCUCGAAUUAUGUGACAAUCAAUCUCAAUGUACAUAACUCCUAGAAGUCUUCAACCUACUUUCGGCCCCCUUUGAACUUCUUUUGGCGUCUCCGUGAAACUCACUCCAACAUAAUCAAGAACCCCAAUAUUAUGAGUAACUAUCAAAUGCCAAAUUAGACAAGCAAAACUUAACCACCAAGCAAAAGCCACAACUCAAGACUAAACCACUUGGCAGAAGCUAUAAUCCAGAAAACAACUAAUACUUAAUCACCAUAAGGCAUAAGCUAAAACCAUCUCAAUGCUUAACUAUCCAUGACAGAAGCUCAAUACAAUUCUUAACCACCAUGGACAAAAACCCACAUCAACAAGAACCACCAAUAGCCAUAACAGACUGAAACAAAUCAUCAUCAAUAAUAGGAAAAGGACUGAAACCAUGAUUGCAGCUUCAAAGAGACAGAACAUGUCAACAGCCAAACUCCUUGAACAGAAGCUUCACUAAGUAUGAAAACCAGAGAGAACAAACAUGAAGACCGGUGCAUUUCAUCACUUCAUUAAAAAAAAAAAAAAGACUUAUCCCAUGACAAAAGGAUUGCACAUCUCAAACCUUAGCCUUCAAUCAAUAAAUCUCGAAUUUGCUCAAUUAACAAUAGUUAUUGUUUCAAUCAGAUCUCAGAAGAAUAAGAACAAAACAAUAGAUGGCAGUGUACAUGGGAACAGUGGAAUCAGAGUAAACAACAACAAAAAUGAGAAAACAGAGUCCAACCAUGAAGAAUCCGCACUCACAGCAAGCACAAAAAAUCCACCAUGUGACUGAAAUCAAGAACGUAGAAAGCCAAAACUAAUAAACUUCGAUGGAACGGCUCAUAUUCAAUGGUGGCUGGAAAUUGCCUCCCAUGGCCGAGUAUGGCAGCACUCAUGAUGGUGAUGACAAACCAAGAACCUAAUCGGUGGGUUGUGAUGCAGAAGAUGUGCUGAAACUUUCUAUCAAAUUAGUUUUCAUUUUCCAUCUAAUGGUCGCCCAGAAAUGACAUUGUCAUCGGCGAGCAAGGGUUUUAUGGUUUUUAGAAAUUGGGGAAAGUGUAGUUAAUAAAGAAGAAGACAAGGUUUCAAUUGGAGCUUUCCUUAGGAAAAGAAAAAAAAAUCAAAGACGAACAAAUACAUAAAAGGUGAAGGAUUAGUAAAAAGAUACUAUGAUGGGUACCAUGUUAGAAUUCAUAGUAUACAGGAGAGAAAAGAGAGGAAAAGGCAUGGAAGAUGUUGCAUGUCUCACAUUGGGUGGUUAACGAGCAUGGUAAGUGCUUAUAUAGCUGGGUAGGUCACCCCCUUAUGAAUCGGUUUUUAAGGAGAUCUUUCGAAUGUGUCUGACCGAACUUUAACAGAAAAAACUUUGAUUAGCACAAAA
rnacentral:lncRNA from 1 species